AGGUCAUAAUAGCUUUGUAUGGAAACCGAAAAUGCUGAAAGUUCGGUUUUCUGAUUCUGUUUACUGUGAUCCUAAAAACGUGAUUUUUAAAAGUUUUAUUUCUAUCAGAAAUUUUCUUCUACAUUCUAGAUGCUACUGUGAGUGGCAACCAACCUGGGUUACACUCAACUCUGUUUAUGAGAUGCUUCAUAACUCUGCCUAGAAAAGUGCAAGAUAUGCAGUAUGCUAAAUUCAGCUCAACACGUUGUAAGAUGCUGCUGGUUAGGCCCCUGUAUUCGCUGGAAGAGUUGGAUAAGGAGCCUCUCUUUGGCGUUGCAACGCCGCCACAACCAAGAUGAGUCUUUGGUUUUAACUCAUGACACUGCUGAUCUGGAAACACUUGGCGACGGCAUCAAGUAUCAAAUGAGCAAUGGGUGGGUUUCCUUUGAGCUGCGCUCUUCUGAGGUUGUGGUGACUUUCCUCAUGCUCAUGUCGCAGAGAAAGACCCAUCACUGGAUGGUAUUGAGGGCUCCAUGCAUUGAUAGGAUCAUAGCACAAGCCUCGCAACACUAAUCUGUCCCUGAUUGGCUGGAGUUCGAAAGAUGCACAUGUAAUAGCAAAUGCAGUGGAAGGUGAUUUUAAAGUCUCUGAAAAGCUUUUAAAAAUGAACAAAAGAAUGAACAGUUGAGGCUUUCCUUGUGCGUCUGUGAUGAGAUGAUAAAAUGUCCAUGCCUACCGGAGGGACUCGAAUCCACAACCAGGCAGUGCGAGCCGACUAAAGGUUUUAACGCCCCAGACAACUAGACCGACCUGGCCGACCUGAAGUAAAACAAACAGUACCUGGAGCAUUAAGAUUCAACAUACUUUGAAAAUAAUAACUUCUGGAGAUGGAACGAAAGGAAAUUCACGAAGAAUAAUUCCAGUAGAGCAGAGAAAACGACCAAGAAAAGCUGAGAUGGGAAGAAUAUCAUCUUCAAAGGUAGGAGAUAUGAAAUAAUCAUUUCCGUCUAUGAAAAAUCUACAGUCUAAAAAUAAAAGUCAACUCACAAUCAUCAUGGACAGCCAAACUACAUUGGAACUUUUGGAAAUGAUUGUCUUCGUUACUUCACUCAUUUUGGAUCCUCUUCAUCUUCAGUGCUGACUCAACAUAACUAUAUUCUUUUCUAAUAGGUCAAACUUGUAGUUUAUUAUACAGUUUUUUAAGUUUCAACUCCUCAAAAUAAGACAUUGCGUACUAAAAGUUGUUGAAUUGAUACUCCAUUAUUCAAAAUUUAAAACCAAACUUGCAUCAAUGAGUCAGUUUUUAGGUUUUUUGCUUCACAAAACCAGAAAAACAGAUUUGAGGAAUUUGUAACUUCAUUCCAUUUAUUUAUUUCUGUGAUAGUAAUGCUUUAAAGUAGGUCUGUAUGUUUUUUAGGCGAAUUCGUGACAUAUGAUAUUCAGCACCAGGUAUAAAAUAGAUUAAAUAGUUAAUUUAGAUCUACAAUGUUAAGAAUUAAGUUUUGAUCGAAUUGAAUAUAUAUUUAAUUUGAUAACGAUAGUUCCAAGUUUAGAAUCUCUAAAAAUAAUGAAAACUUCGAUGCACAGUCACAUCAACGUUA